rnacentral:rRNA from 1 species
CCUGACUGCUAUCGGAUUGAUACUAAGCCAUGCGAGUCAUUGUAGCAAUACAAGGCAGACGGCUCAGUAACGCGUAGUCAAUCUACCCUAUGGACGGGAAUAACCUCGGGAAACUGAGAAUAAUGCCCGAUAGAACAUUAUGCCUGGAAUGGUUUAUGUUUCAAAUGAUUUAUCGCCAUAGGAUGGGACUGCGGCCUAUCAGUUUGUUGGUGAGGUAAUGGCCCACCAAGACUAUUACAGGUACGGGCUCUGAGAGGAGUAGCCCGGAGAUGGGUACUGAGACACGGACCCAGGCCCUAUGGGGCGCAGCAGGCGAGAAAACUUUGCAAUGUGCGAAAGCACGACAAGGUUAAUCCGAGUGGUUUCUGCUAAAGAAACCUUUUGUCAGUCCUAGAAACACUAACGAAUAAGGGGUGGGCAAGUUCUGGUGUCAGCCGCCGCGGUAAAACCAGCACCUCAAGUGGUCAGGAUGAUUAUUGGGCCUAAAGCAUCCGUAGCUCGUUUUGUAAGUUUUCGGUUAAAUCCAUGCGCUUAACGUAUGGGCUGCCGGGAAUACUGCAUAACUAGGGAGUGGGAGAGGUAGACGGUACUCGGGAGGAAGGGGUAAAAUCCUUUGAUCUCUUGAUGACCACCUGUGGCGAAGGCGGUCUACCAGAACACGUUCGACGGUGAGGGAUGAAAGCUGGGGGAGCAAACCGGAUUAGAUACCCGGGUAGUCCCAGCUGUAAACUAUGCAAACUCAGUGAUGCAUUGGCUUAUGGCCAAUGCAGUGCUGCAGGGAAGCCGUUAAGUUUGCCGCCUGGGAAGUACGUACGCAAGUAUGAAACUUAAAGGAAUUGGCGGGGGAGCACCACAAGGGGUGAAGCCUGCGGUUCAAUUGGAUCAACGCCGGAAA